AAACCUAAGUAUAUAAACCUUAUUGUUACUGUGCCCUAGCCACCAUCCACCCGAGCCUUUCCCAUUUCUUCCUCUCUCGCUCGAACCGCCGCAAAUGCCACCCCCUCUCGUUCGAUCGCCGGAGCUGGAUUUGCCGCCGAGCUCCCGGAGUUGCCCUCCCUUGCACGGGCUGCCUUCGGCCAAGAGCAGGGAGGUGUCGUCCUUUCAUGUGCGGCACCUGAUUACCGGCGCCGAUUUCCCUUCUUCUCUAUGCCCUAGCCGUCUCCCUCCCUCUCUCAGCCGAUGUCGCGCCACACGCCACCGCCCGACGCCGGUUACCCCUUCGUGUCGUGCCCUAGAUCCCUAUUCCACCGCCGAGCGUCGCCGUGAUGCACUGCUUGAUGUCAAUUCUCCAGCCACUGGGUGGAUUCGGCCGAGAGCAGGGAGCGUGGCUGGGGUCGUCGCUUUUCGCCUCGUCUAAGCCGGCCGCUUCAUCCACCGCUGCCAAUUUCUCCCCUGUCAUAGCCAGAGCAGAUCCAUUAUCGACCGACAGGAGGAAUUAGAUCCAUUUCCCGAUCAAUUGAGCACUGACUGAACAGUACCUUUACACGAGGUCUCCUUGUUGCACAUCUAGAGUUUGGGUGACAGCAGCUCUACUUAGCAUCGGCUGCCAUUCUCCAGCAGCGACAUUCUUCAGUAGCGAAUCAUCAGUUGGGGCAUCCGGAUUUGGAGGUAUUCUUGCUGGGGUGAAUGCAUCUGAUUUAUUAUCCAUACAUUGAGGACUCUGAUUACGAGACGGUAGUUUCUGACGUGAGGAUUGUUUGGCACGAUCUACGUAUAAAGGCGGGUAUUUCUUGCUCUAUCUCUUUAGUAUGUUGACCAUAGUGCAUGAGCUUUAUAUUCAGAUAGAUACUGUGUUUAUCUUGACUCCACUCUUAUUCUUCCUGCGUUUGAUACUUCCACUCAAUCUUUGAGCUACUCGUUUCUGUAUCUAUACAGUCUCUCGUUG